rnacentral:lncRNA from 1 species
AGGCUACGUUAAAUUGUGUCAUAGAAUGUGAGAACUUUCAUGAUAAUGUGUAGAAGGUCAAGAUAACUUGGUACAAUCGAACGUGGCUGAUCUUUAAUAAAUAUACCUGAAUUUUAUAAGGGUUCUGUUACCGGUAAUUAAGAGGAAUCAUGUAUGUGAUAAACCUAAAUAUCCUUGCCCCCACUGCUGGAAAGAAUUUGGGAAACGAAAAUACCUAAGUCAACAUUUAAAAAUGCAUAUUCCAGAUUCAUUUAUGUGCCCACACUGUUGUCAUACCUUUCGGUGGAAGUAUCGUUUAAAACAGCAUUUAGAAGUUUGCAACAGACAGGGUUAAAAAAAUGCAGCUUGUGCCUUAGAUAUUAAUAGAAAAAUAUAACAAGAAAAUGCUGUUUUUUCAUUCAUAUUUUGAGACUUGCAAUAACACUAGAUUUUUUAAAACAGUUAUAAAAGUAAUAAUCAAUAUUUGAAGAAUCUGACAAAGCAAAAAUGUAUUGACUGGGUGCUUUGCAAGGUAGAAAAAGUUGGAGUUGCUCACUGGAUUCAGCAUUAUUUUGUACCUUUGUAGAAAAACAUCAUCUGACACUGUUAUAUUAUUAAAAAAAUUAAAUGGGUUUGAGGUAUUUGUAAUCAUACUACAUUCUGAUUUUGAUAUUUUUCUUCUUUAAUAAGCUUUUGUUUAAAAUUGUACAUGUCUUUAUAAAUGUAUUUUUAUGCUAAAUUUCAUAUUGUCUUUUGUCUACUUUGUGUAUUCUACAUUAUAAUGAAAUUAAAUAAUAUUAAUACUCAAUUCAAAUAAAUGCUAUUUAUCAUAUGA